CAGGCGUAUGGAAAUUGAAAUUUAGGUACAAGUUCAAACUGCCUGUUGGUGAUGCAGUCAAAAGAUGUGGUAUUGAGCGUAGUUGGAAAAGAUUGAAGAAUCAAUCAAGU
rfam:[Clostridium] straminisolvens JCM 21531 DNA, contig: contig00052.